rnacentral:tRNA from 1 species
GGUAGGCUAGUUCAAUGGUUAUAGAGCUUAGGCCUUGUGACCCGAAGGUCCUGGGUUCGAAUCUCGCCUGAGUUA